GACGAAGGAUGCAAGCGUUAUCCGGAUUCAUUGGGUUUAAAGGGAGCGUAGGUGGUCUUCUAAGUCAGUGGUGAAAUCCUGUCGCUUAACGAUAGAAUUGCCAUUGAUACUGGAGGACUUGAGUGUAGUUGCCGUUGGCGGAAUAUGACAUGUAGUGGUGAAAUACAUAGAGAUGUCAUAGAACACCGAUUGCGAAGGCAGCUGACGAAACUAUAACUGACACUGAGGCACGAAAGCGUGGGGAUCGAACAGG
rnacentral:rRNA from 1 species